AUGAUGACAUUGGCAUUCACCAAUGGCAGGCGCUUCCAGAAGGCUCCAGGAUGGGCUCAGGGCCUGGCUCCCUUCACAGGCAGGAAGCCCCCAAGACCUGGGUUUGCGGGACUCUGGUUUAUGGAGGCACCAGAGUCCAUGCUGGUCGGCCCACCCCUCUGGGCCCCACCUGUCAGGUGUGACGUUCCUGGGGGAGGGCAGGUGGGGCUUCACCCCCAGAGGCUUGGCUCCACUAAUCACGUCAGAUCAAAGGACUGAGAACCGUGCAUUCAGGGCACGUUGGGGAGAGAUUUCGACAUGGGAGCAGGAAUUCGCCUUUGUGGCAGUGGUGCCCUGGCCUGGCCAGCUGCCAUUGCCUGUCCCAUGAGUGGUCAGGGAGGCUGUAAUGACCGGCCAGCACUGGGGCGUUUCACUGCAGAGCCAGCAAUGACUUCCUGGACCCUGGGCAUCAAGGGUGGGGCGGAGGGGUCGGCCCAGGCUGACCCUUUGCCAGAUCGGGAGCUGUGGGGCCGACAGGAGACUCUAAGCCUGGAGCGGCUGGAGCAAAGAUGACUGAGGGUGUUGUCCUUGACCACCCGGUGACCUGCAGCCUCUUCUCCCUUGAGUCACACCUCACUCAAGACCCCUACCCUGGAGCCACAGCCUGGCUCAAUCCCCCUCAGCAUCGAGUCAAGGGUCCUGAAGGCUCCAUCUCCAAGAUCCUGGGGGAAAGGUAUCACAUUUUCAGCGUCUGGGCCUGAAUCCACUGUCCCGUCAGCGGAGGGCCAGCUGGGAGAGGCUGCAGUGACCACCGAGAGCGUGUCCCCAGCCCCUGAUGAGACCCUCUGCCAGCCCCCUGCCUGGUGCUGAUGCCAAGCUGAUUGCUAGUGGACGUUGAGUGAAAAGCAAACAGAUAAGGCUGGUCCGGCAGGAUGCGGGGUUUGGGCCCCGGGUGGCAGCAUGGGGAACACCACACGCCCGGGCCAGGGGGUUAUCUGGGCUGCCUUUGCCUUUCAAGCUUGUAGGUGGCGGGUUAGGGUGCAUUUGCUCUCUGCUGGUGGCUGGUGAGGGGGGCUUUGGGGAGUGUCAGGGACACAGGCUGCCCUCUAUGUGACCCUGGGAGCUGGUGGCCCAGUGGUGGUGGCCACUGGGGUAUGGCUGGGCCAUGCACAUGACUCCUCCCCCUGGAGUCUGCCAGUGGUGAUGGAGCAUGUCAGCUUUCAAAUAAAAUGGCCAGUUAUUUUACCAGCAAAAUGAAUUUAUUCAGGAAUAGCAAAAGAAUUGCGAUUUGGGACAUGCAAACUACUUGGAACCACAGGCAAGUCCGGAGAACAAAGGAGAGGAGCUGCUUUUAUAGAGAAAAAGGGGAAGUAGGGAGGGGGCUGUUCUAAAGGAAAGCCACUGGGGGAGAGUAAGCGUUCAGGUGGUGACAGCUCCUCAUUGGCUGAGCUGCAGCCCUUUCCCAUUGGCUGGGCUUGUUACUGGGCAAGAAAAAACCUUCCUCCUGCUGGGGCAGCAAAGUAGUAGCCAACUUCCUGUCUGAGAUGCUGGGUCCCUCUCUUCCUGUUGGGGUAACUGAGGACACGUGGUGGGGCGGAGAGCUCCCCCUGCAGGCCUUCCUGAUCCCAUGUAGUCCAGUUUCCACUGUGAAUCUUCACAAGCUCCCGGGAGGGGACCAUGUUGGGGACAUUCUCACUGCGAGGUGUCUAGUUCAGGCUGCUGCACCAAAGCACUCAGAUGCGAGAGCUUAUCAACAACAUGCGUGUGCUUCUCACACCCUGGAGGCUGGGGUCUGAGAUCAGGCUGCUGGCAGGUCUUCUCUCUGUGUCCUCCUAUGGGGAGAGAGGGGCAGGAAGGGAGCUCUGGGGUCUCUCCUUAUAGGGGCACUAAUCCUAUCAUUGGGGCCCUACCCUCAUGACCUUAUCACCUCCCCAAAGCCUCACCUCCUAAUUCCAUCAUCCUGGGGCGAGGGCUUCAACAUAUGAAUUUUGGGGAGACUCAAGCAUGCAGUCUAUAACAGGGGGUUCCUCACUGUGGAAGAAAAUCAGGUUGGGGGGCCCAGCAGGAAGCACAAGUCAAGUGAGCUCUGAGAGCAGAUGCAGCUCAGAGCUUGGAGGGCCCUGAGCAGCCGUGAAGGCUUCGUGGAGGAGGUGGGCCAGAAGAAAAGCAGCCAGACCCUCAAGGCUAGGAGCCAGGCCGGGGUGAGGAGAGGCCCCAUCAAGCCUGAAGUACCCACAUGGCUGUGGAGACACCGGUGAGAGGGUAGGAGCCAGACCAGAGGAUGUCCUAGGCCUAGAGUGAGCUGGGACGAAUGGGUGAACUGAGGACCAAGAGUCGGGUUGGGGUCAGGGUCCUGCACAAAGAGGCAGGGGCAGCGACUCAGGCACUGGCUAGCAGCAGGUGAGGGUGGGCAGGGCCGGGUCUGAAGAGUUCCAGGGGACGCUGGCACGGACCGGGUGUGGCUGGAGCAGGGCCAGGCUCCCCAGACUCACAAUGGCCAGUUCUGCGUGGCUGGUCAAGGAGAAUGCAGAGCACGCUGUAUGGGAUCAGGAGGACUUCCAGGGCCACUGACGCCAGGUGCUGGCCCAGGGGAGCCUCGGGCCCCAACCUGCUGUCCAGCGGACAAGAGCGUCAUGCUGGCCGCCUGUGGGAGGUGCUGUUCAGUUACCGGCAGCACCUGGGUCAGCUAGUGCCACCACGCACAGAGGCAGCUGCCAGGGGCCCCAGGACACGUGGACUGGAAAGCCAAGGCCCUACAGAAGUCCGGGUGGCAGGGCAGGUGGCCCCACAGCCUGACCCUGGUGACUCUGGGGGUCAGAGGCCCCGGCCCCACCCAGUAUCAGACAUUGAGGUCCCUCUGACCCCAAUCUUCCCCCUAACUGGAGCACAAGCAGAGGUGACAGAGGACGGCACUGCCCAUUCACCCUCGGAACCUGGCGGUGGCCUCUGCGGACCUGCUCCUGGUCACAGUAGAUUCGUUUGCAUUUUCUGGAAUUUUAUAUAAAUAGAAACAGUAUCUGCUGCUUUUCUGUCUGGCUUCUUUCACUCAACUUUUGAAUGAAAGAAAUUAUUUUGAGUUUCAUCCAUGCUGUGGUUGGAGUCAAUGGUUCGUUCCCAUUUUAUCGCUGAGCAGUACGCCCUGGUGUGGGUGUGCCACAGUCUCUUCACCCCUUCGCCUCCUGGUGGCCACUGGGAUGUUUCCAGUUUGGGGCUAAAUUAAGCUGGGACAUGUGCGCACCCGUCUCCAGUGAGUGCAUGCUUUCGUUUAUGCUGGGUAAAUACUCGGGAGACGCCCGGCUGGAUCAUAUGGUUGGUGUCUG